rnacentral:rRNA from 1 species
AUUGAACGCUGGCGGCAGGCUUAACACAUGCAAGUCGAGCGGGGAAGGUUGCUUCGGUAACUGACCUAGCGGCGGACGGGUGAGUAAUGCUUAGGAAUCUGCCUAUUAGUGGGGGACAACAUUCCGAAAGGGAUGCUAAUACCGCAUACGUCAUACGAGAGAAAGCAGGGGAUCAUUUGACCUUGCGCUAAUAGUAGAGCCUAAGUCGGAUUAGCUAGUUGGUAGGGUAAAGGCCUACCAAGGCGACGAUCUGUAGCGGGUCUGAGAGGAUGAUCCGCCACACUGGGACUGAGACACGGCCCAGACUCCUACGGGAGGCAGCAGUGGGGAAUAUUGGACAAUGGGGGGAACCCUGAUCCAGCCAUGCCGCGUGUGUGAAGAAGGCCUUUUGGUUGUAAAGCACUUUAAGCGAGGAGGAGGCUCUCUUGGUUAAUACCUGAGAAGAGUGGACGUUACUCGCAGAAUAAGCACCGGCUAACUCUGUGCCAGCAGCCGCCGUAA